UACGGAGGGUGCAAGCGUUAAUCGGAAUUACUGGGCGUAAAGCGUGCGUAGGCGGUUAUGAAAGUUGGAUGUGAAAUCCCUGGGCUCAACCUAGGAACUGCAUUCAAAACUUCAUGGCUAGAGUGCGGAAGAGGACAGUGGAAUUUCCUGUGUAGCGGUGAAAUGCGUAGAUAUAGGAAGGAACAUCAGUGGCGAAGGCGACUGUCUGGUCUGACACUGACGCUGAGGUACGAAAGCGUGGGUAGCGAACAGG
rnacentral:rRNA from 1 species